GUGGGCUUUGUACGCGGGUGGUCUUGCGCCACGAUGCCGGAGUUGGGUGCCGGAGUCACAUCAAGGUCGCAAGAUCGAAACCCAUCGGGAACGGUUCGGCUCCGUUACCUGUGUAGGCACUGAACAUACUUGUGCCGAACUUCCCCAAACGAGCGCCAUCUCGGCCUUCCUAGGUCGCUGCUCUACGGGUGCGGACGCUGGUGCGGCGGGUUCUGAUGGUUUCCCCGCGAGAGCUAUCCUGCUUACUAGAAGCCGGUCUGCAAGCCAGUUGGCGCUGAUGCGCCGGGGCAGGAGGAGGCCCCUGAAUAGGGAAUGUGCGUCACCCAGCGCCGAUCUGCGAGCCCGUGUUUCGAGGCGUUACCGUGGCCCAGUAUGGCCGAUGGUUGCAGACAACCCCCCUCCCCCACAUACCUAACCCGCCCGUGGGCUUUGUACGCGGGUGGUCUUGCGCCACGAUGCCGGAGUUGGGUGCCGGAGUCACAUCAAGGUCGCAAGAUCGAAACCCAUCAGGAACGGUUCGGCUCCGUUACCUGUGUAGGCACUGAACAUACUUGUGCCGAACUUCCCCGAAAGAGUGCCAUCUCGGCCUUCCUAGGUCGCUGCUCUACGGGUGAGGACGCUGGUGCGGCGGGUUCUGAUGGUUUCCCCGCGAGAGCUAUCCUGCUUUCUAGAAGCCGGUCUGCGAGCCAGUUGGCGCUGAUGCGUCGGGGCAGGAGGAGGCCCCUGAUUAGGGAAUGCGCGUCACCCAGCGCCGAUCUGCGAGCCCGUGUUUCGAGGCGUUACCGUGGCCCAGUAUGGCCGAUGGUUGCAGACAACCCCCCUCCCCCAAAUUCGCUAACCUGGGUGAACCGGGGCACGCUGCAGCGGGAGCCAGGACCGGCGUCUUCCGGGCGGCGGCGGCUGGAGCUGUGGGCGCAUCUACACAGUGGAGAGACCUGCUUGGCGAAUGCAGUCUGGCGAAGGCAGUCCAGCGAAGGCUGGCUGGCGCAGGCCGACUAAGCGAAGGCUGGCUGGCGCUGUCUGCUGUGCUAGGGUGUUGCGAGGCUGUGUGGACUUGGUUGGGCGGUGGGCGUGCCUGCACCGCCUGUGCUAGGUUGCGGGCGCUGUGGCUUGUGUUGUCUGGUGGGUCGGACCGGCUGAUCCUCGUGGUUCAGCGAACUUGCACGGCCCUGGGCCGUCUACAGGAUGCAGCUUCGGGCUGCACCCAACAGUGUGAGGGCCCUGCCCUGUUGGUGCUGGUGUUUUGGGGUAGGAGUUGCACUUUG
rnacentral:lncRNA from 1 species